rnacentral:rRNA from 1 species
AACCCCUGUGACAUACCAAUUGUUGCCUCGGCGGAUCAGCCCGCUCCCGGUAAAACGGGACGGCCCGCCAGAGGACCCCUAAACUCUGUUUCUAUAUGUAACUUCUGAGUAAAACCAUAAAUAAAUCAAAACUUUCAACAACGGAUCUCUUGGUUCUGGCAUCGAUGAAGAACGCAGCAAAAUGCGAUAAGUAAUGUGAAUUGCAGAAUUCAGUGAAUCAUCGAAUCUUUGAACGCACAUUGCGCCCGCCAGUAUUCUGGCGGGCAUGCCUGUUCGAGCGUCAUUUCAACCCUCAAGCCCCCGGGCUUGGUGUUGGGGAUCGGCGAGCCUCACGGCAAGCCGGCCCCGAAAUACAGUGGCGGUCUCGCUGCAGCUUCCAUUGCGUAGUAGUAAAACCCUCGCAACUGGUACGCGGCGCGGCCAAGCCGUUAAACCCCCAACUUCUGAAUGUUGACCUCGGAUCAGGUAGGAAUACCCGCUGAACUUAAGC